rfam:Thiorhodococcus drewsii AZ1 ctg194, whole genome shotgun sequence.
AAACCCGCGAGGGGAUGUCUGGAGGAAGCCCGAGUGCAAAAGUGCGAGCCGACGGACAGAAACCGCAUAGAAGGCUUGGCCCCUGGGCGAGUCAGCACGAGAUGACGAAGCCCGACAGGUGCAGGGGGUAGGGUAAAUGCGGCGGUUGUGCACUGAAAGUUCACGUU